rnacentral:rRNA from 1 species
AACGAACGCUGGCGGCAUGCCUAACACAUGCAAGUCGAACGAGACCUUCGGGUCUAGUGGCGCACGGGUGCGUAACGCGUGGGAACCUGCCCUUAGGUUCGGAAUAACUCCCCGAAAGGGGUGCUAAUACCGGAUAAUUUCUUCGGACCAAAGAUUUAUUGCCUUUGGAUGGGCCCGCGUUGGAUUAGCUAGUUGGUAGGGUAAAAGCCUGCCAAGGCGACGAUCCAUAGCUGGUCUGAGAGGAUGAUCAGCCACACUGGGACUGAGACACGGCCCAGACUCCUACGGGAGGCAGCAGUGGGGAAUAUUGGACCAUGGGCGAAAGCCUGAUCCAGCACUGCCGCGUGAGUGAUGAAGGCCUUAGGGUUGUAAAGCUCUUUUACCCGGGAUGAUAAUGACAGUACCGGGAGAAUAAGCUCCGGCUAACUCCGUG